AUGGAGCCGACCUUGAAAUACCACCCUUUAAUGUUUGAUGUUCUAACGUUGACCCGUAAUCCGGGUUGCGGACAGUGUCUGGUGGGUAGUUUGACUGGGGCGGUCUCCUCCUAAAGAGUAACGGAGGAGCACGAAGGUUGGCUAAUCCUGGUCGGACAUCAGGAGGUUAGUGCAAUGGCAUAAGCCAGCUUGACUGCGAGCGUGACGGCGCGAGCAGGUGCGAAAGCAGGUCAUAGUGAUCCGGUGGUUCUGAAUGGAAGGGCCAUCGCUCAACGGAUAAAAGGUACUCCGGGGAUAACAGGCUGAUACCGCCCAAGAGUUCAUAUCGACGGCGGUGUUUGGCACCUCGAUGUCGGCUCAUCACAUCCUGGGGCUGAAGUAGGUCCCAAGGGUAUGGCUGUUCGCCAUUUAAAGUGGUACGCGAGCUGGGUUUAGAACGUCGUGAGACAGUUCGGUCCCUAUCUGCCGUGGGCGCUGGAGAACUGAGGGGGGCUGCUCCUAGUACGAGAGGACCGGAGUGGACGCAUCACUGGUGUUCGGGUUGUCAUGCCAAUGGCACUGCCCGGUAGCUAAAUGCGGAAGAGAUAAGUGCUGAAAGCAUCUAAGCACGAAACUUGCCCCGAGAUGAGUUC
rnacentral:rRNA from 1 species